GAUGGAGUGUUGUUGCCAUGCUCAGUCUGCUACUGCAGCACUACAUCCUCCAUCAUUGUGGGACAGUACAGGAACAACAACAUCCUGGUGUUCAGAGUGGAAUAGUGUGUACAUUCGCUGCUGAGUCAGGACAAGGAUGCUGAGGAUGUGGUGGACAAGGAUGACCUGAAUACACAGAAGCUACUGCUCAGCAAAGAAUACAACUGUCUGGUGAAAGGCUCGACCGUAUCAAAGUCCAGUGAUGUCGGGGUAUGUGACCGUUCCAUGUCUGGGGAUUGCAUUUUAGCUGACACUAACAAGGGAGAGAACUGAAGAUCUGCACCUGCAAAGAGCACAAGCCUUGAUAUAGAGUUGGUACGGCAACGACACAAGUCGGGCCCGCUGGAGCCCCAGUCCAGCACGACCCCUCCCCUGACCCUUAGCUCCUCCCAUUUGACCUCCGGCAUCAAAGAGUCAGCAUUGUUUAACAAUUCCAUCCCAUAGCAAUUUCUGAGCACAUAGAGUGUUUGCACAUUUUUCUCAACAAGCGCAAUGUCCGUGUUGAGUCUGCACUUGGGCCCUGAUUGAUUUGAUAGACUCAAGUGUCGGAGCUGGUAGAAGUGUUACAGACAUAAGAAGUUAUUGCAGCUGUUAUGGUAACACUAACAGUCAGCUCUCGCUGUUGGACAUUACAAUGAAUAUUACGAAAAAAUACAAAGCUGGAUAACUCAUUCCAUUCUUUUUGGGACAAACAGACCUGCAGCAAGGAACAGGAGAAAAUCACGGGAAUGUUUGAAGAGUUUAAGUUAGAAGCGUAAGCUUUCCACCGGGGAUACUCCUGGAUGGUCUAAACUUAAGGGACAGUCCAGGUUUGUCCUCUCAGGUGUCCAAACUGUCCAAAGAGAAUGCAUUUAUUUUUGACGCAGUUGCUAACAAAGAAAGGCAGUACCAACUUCGUUGUGAAGAGUCAAGCAUGGUACAUCCCUGGGGCAUGACUCAGGUGGGAAUUCCAUCUGCAACAAGGUGCUUAAGGUGAACCCAUCAGAGUGUGUUACUAACCACUUCAAGACCAAACAGCCUCACAUUGAUUCGACGAUAAAGAAGGCGUUGAAAAAUGACAGCAGUUUUGAUGUGUCAUCCAGUUUGCUCUUCGACUCUCAACCCAACGUUAGUUAGAACGCAAACUCAGCAUUUAGCGUUAUCAGCGAGGCUCGAAGGUCAUCUCUGCUUCUUAAGCUUCAGAUAAAAUUAUAAGCCAACAAGACGAACAUCGUUGAAUCAUUUCUCACAUAUACUAAAACUCGCUUAAGAAAUUCAGCACGUCACUUAUGAACAUCUUCUCGCAAGGCGGCUACAUCAGCACUUCCAAUAGCUGAGCCUUGGUGAGUUCCACUCCUGUCCCGAUGAGUCGCUCGAGCUGAAACAAUCUGAUCCACAGAUAGAGCAGACGCUGAGUGACUCGUCUGUUAACGUGACUGACCUCCAUAUGUUGCUCUCUAAUAUUGUGCCUGAGGAGCAGUGUUGGCCUACAUUCCCUGUUCAGGGCGGUGACUUUGGCGUCAAGACUCACACAAUCUCUGUCUAUGGCCCUAUCGCAGCAGCAGCAGCAGCAGCAAAAAAAACAGGAAGUAUUUCAGCUGCACUCUGGGAAAACAGGGCUUAAUGCAUGUGUUUAAAGUGUUGUCCCAGAUAAAGGUGUUAAGUCUGCCCGCUCUUAUCAGUGACCACAGUUUCCGAAUAAGCCUUUAAAUGAAAAAUUCCAUAAAAGCGGAAAGUGUCGUGGCUGAUGAUUUUCAAGACUCACACAACCUCUGUCUAUGGCCCUGUCGCAGCAGCAGCAGCAACAAAAACAGGAAGUAUUUCAGCUGCACUCUGGGAAAACAGGGCUUAAUGCAUGUGCCUAAAGUGUUUUACCCACAAAAGCGUGUUAAGUCUGCCCAAGCUAAUUUGUGACCACACUUUCCGAAUGUACCUUAAAACAAAGAAUUCCAUAAAAGCUGAAAGUGUCGUGGCUGAUUAGCUUGUGCAGACUGUACAUGCAAAUCUGGAACAACUCUACACUUAUGCAUUUAGCCCAGUUUUUAAAGAGUUUAGAGUUGCACAUUUAGUUCACAUUACAUCAGCUUUACUGACCUUUUUGGAGAAAAGUUCUUAUUACCAAUCAGGAAUUUUGCGGUUUUUGACUGUUCAAACUGAGUUAAUAAAAUGCAUAUUAGAGUUGAUUUGAUAUCAGUUUUAACCAUAGGGGGUAAGGGCAUAUUUUCAUACCUUUUUGUUUGUUUUCACUUGUAUAUAAACCCCUUGCAUAAAUUAUACAAAAUACUGAUGUUUUAUUUAAAUAAAACAAUUAUUGAAAUGCAGUCAACAUUUUAAAAAAAUUAUCUGCAUUUCAUUUAUUAUUAGGUAACAAAAUUUAAUAUAUUUUUACAUAAAUUGAAAUUAAUCACCUGUCCAGGUUUUCAGUUUACAAAUAUGCCCCUGGAGUGAGAAUAUGAAGUGAAGAUAUUAAUUAAUUAUUGCCCCCGGCUAAUUGGGGUAUAUGGGAAUCACCUUGGACAGACGUCUGUCUCUCUUUUCUUAUGUCUGUGGGCGUUCACUUACAAUUCAACGUUAAGCAUUCAAACUUUCAGGUAUUGUUUAAUCUCAUACGUGGUUGUGCAUGUACAUUUUGUAUCAUAAUACUCUAAAAAUUACAAAACUUAGACAUUAUAUAACCUCAUGCUUCAUAGACUUGUGGCAUUGGGGGACAUUCUAUGUAACAAUGGUUACAAAUAAUUGUUUGACUAGAUGUUGUUUUCUUCUAAGUAUUUUGAAAAAAAAAGAGCCAUAUUUUGCUUUCGGAUUGAGUCAGCCUCAUAACUUGUUAAUUUAAUAAUUUAAUGGUCAUGAAAUAAUUUCUAUGGCCAUUCUCUCUCUGAUUCUAGUACGGCAAUUGUCUGUUACUGGCAUAAGUAUAUGUACUCAGUAAGGCCAGGAAAAGGUUAACUUAAUGACCACACUACUUUGACUAAAAUGCAUUUUUGUGUGUGUAGGAUCAAUUAAAAAAAAAGAUAAAAUUCGAGUACUUUUUAGCUGUUUCCUACAGGACCCCGUACAAUUACAGAUUGGUGCACAGCUGAACAACAGGCUCUCUCUCCUAAGCCAGGCCUGAACGCAUGGGGUCACUUCCUGUGUAUGGGUGGCCAAAUGUCAAACUAGUACCAAUCUGUGCCCAAAAAGCAGCCGUAGCCGUGGGGGGCAGGUUCAUGAUGCAACCGUGGUCUCAUUGCUCUCUGAACAUCUCCUUCCCAACAGCAACAGUACAGCAAAAUGACCUGGGUCAUACCGUUGCCAGUUCAAGCUUAGAGGACCAUGUUCCCCAAAUCCAAUGUGGCCCUAUAUCUUAACAGCUCUUCAAUUAUUUGACAACGCGGCAAUCAACAUGGUUCCAUUCCAGGAAUACCUCGCAGAGCUAAUGAACAGAGCCAGUGCGUAGAACAUGAUUUUUAGGAGGAAUAGGAACCUAGGCCCAAUAUCAACCUGGUUCCAAUCUCGCGAAGAUGUCCACCGGCCGCCCCCUAGCACAAGCCUCGUUAGCCCCAAGGUGUUGUCAUGAUGCCCCUGGACAACAGCUCUUGUUGGGCUCUUCCCAAUAGCAGUAGAUCAACAUGGCAUAUCAGCAUGAUGCCCCAAACCAGCGCUUCAUAUUUAGCUACCAGCAGUAUCCAUGCAACCAAACCUUGAUCACUCAGCAACAGAUAAAUCAGCAGCAGGGAUGGAGUUAGCCGUUUCAACGUCUGCUCAGAUGCCUCUCAGAGCCAGUCGGCUUGCUGUGUUGCUUAGCCAAUCCACUACUUAUGUCGCAGCACAAUAUCUCAUCUGGAUCCAUUCCACUGCUGGCGCAACAGCAGGUCUGUUCUCUGUACAGAGCCGUUUCUAUGACGAUGAAGUCCUACAAUUCGCCCAGUACUUGCUUUUGCGUCAGGGUCAGGUUCAAGGCCUCAUGGGCUUUGGUGGUCUGGGCAAGAUGGGAAUGUUAGACAGCAACAACAACAGUUAAGAAAAUAGCAACAGCAUAAUAGACAGACACAGCAGCAAUGGCCACAGCACCAACAAUAGCAGUAACAGAUGAUGGCUUAGCUUCAUCAGCAAUAGCAGAAGCAACAAGAUCUUACGUCCAUGGACCAUUUAGAUGUCACUUUAGAAAUUCAGAAGAUCUUCAUGAAAGAAUAAACAUGGAUUGCAUGGCAUUGAGUUUGGUUUGGAAGCAGGUACUAUCGCAGAACUCGAGCCAGCAAAGGUCAUUCUCACAGGAAUCCAGUAUCUCCAUGGUGCAGGACCCACAGUCUAUGAACGUUGUGGAGCUUGAACCUUGGACGCCAAUUGAAAAAUAUCCAAACCGUCCAAUCAGAAAGACAGUCUGUUGCAGCAGUUAUUCAAACCUAGGAUGCUUAGUGAUAAACAUAAAUAAACACAUGCUAGUCCCUAAGUGCCUGCAUUGGCUGUUUUAAAGCCUUGCUGUCCAUUCUGAACACUUAAAUGGAAGCUCUCACCUUAGAAUUUUGGGAUAGGUCGAAACCCAGUGGCAUGGUGCAGACUAACAUCGCAGAAUGACAAAGAAGUACAAGCCUGUGACCAGCAAUAAACUAAUGUGGCCAGCUAUGUUGUGU